rnacentral:rRNA from 2 species
AUGCAGUCGAACGAUGAACCACUUCGGUGGGGAUUAGUGGCGAACGGGUGAGUAACACGUGGGCAAUCUGCCCUGCACUCUGGGACAAGCCCUGGAAACGGGGUCUAAUACCGGAUACUGACCCGCUUGGGCAUCCAAGCGGUUCGAAAGCUCCGGCGGUGCAGGAUGAGCCCGCGGCCUAUCAGCUUGUUGGUGAGGUAAUGGCUCACCAAGGCGACGACGGGUAGCCGGCCUGAGAGGGCGACCGGCCACACUGGGACUGAGACACGGCCCAGACUCCUACGGGAGGCAGCAGUGGGGAAUAUUGCACAAUGGGCGAAAGCCUGAUGCAGCGACGCCGCGUGAGGGAUGACGGCCUUCGGGUUGUAAACCUCUUUCAGCAGGGAAGAAGCGAAAGUGACGGUACCUGCAGAAGAAGCGCCGGCUAACUACGUGCCAGCAGCCGCGGUAAUACGUAGGGCGCGAGCGUUGUCCGGAAUUAUUGGGCGUAAAGAGCUCGUAGGCGGCUUGUCACGUCGGUUGUGAAAGCCCGGGGCUUAACCCCGGGUCUGCAGUCGAUACGGGCAGGCUAGAGUUCGGUAGGGGAGAUCGGAAUUCCUGGUGUAGCGGUGAAAUGCGCAGAUAUCAGGAGGAACACCGGUGGCGAAGGCGGAUCUCUGGGCCGAUACUGACGCUGAGGAGCGAAAGCGUGGGGAGCGAACAGGAUUAGAUACCCUGGUAGUCCACGCCGUAAACGGUGGGCACUAGGUGUGGGCGACAUUCCACGUCGUCCGUGCCGCAGCUAACGCAUUAAGUGCCCCGCCUGGGGAGUACGGCCGCAAGGCUAAAACUCAAGGAAUUGACGGGGGCCCGCACAAGCGGGCGGAGCAUGUGGCUUAAUUCGACGCAACGCGGAGGAACCUUACUCAAGGCUUGACAUACACCGGAAAGCAUCAGAGAUGGUGGCCCCCUUGUGGUCGGUGUACAGGUGGUGCAUGGCUGUCGUCAGCUCGUGUCGUGAGAUGGUGGGUAAGUCCCGCAAGAAGCGCAACCCUUGUCUCGUGGUGCGCAGCCAGCCCUGUCGAUCGU